GACGAACCGUGCGAACGUUAUUCGGAAUCACUGGGCUUAAAGCGCGUGUAGGCGGGUGGGCGCGUCGGCCGCUGAAAUCCCCCCGGCUCAACCGGGGAAGUGGCGCCGAAACGGCCCCGCCUGGAGGAACGUAGGGGGGAGCUGGAAACUUCCGGUGGAGCGGUGAAAUGCGUUGAGAUCGGAAGGAACGCCCGUGGCGAAGGCGGCUUUCUGGUCUGUAACUGACGCUGAGGCGCGAAAGCGUGGGGAGCAAACAGG
rnacentral:rRNA from 1 species